rnacentral:rRNA from 1 species
GUGGGGAAUUUUGGACAAUGGGCGCAAGCCUGAUCCAGCAAUGCCGCGUGCAGGAAGAAGGCCUUCGGGUUGUAAACUGCUUUUGUACGGAACGAAACGGUCCGGGUUAAUACCCUGGGCUAAUGACGGUACCGUAAGAAUAAGCACCGGCUAACUACGUGCCAGCAGCCGCGGUAAUACGUAGGGUGCAAGCGUUAAUCGGAAUUACUGGGCGUAAAGCGUGCGCAGGCGGAUUUGUAAGACAGGCGUGAAACACCCGGGCUCAACCUGGGAAUUGCGAUAGUGACUGCAAGGCUGGAGUGCGGCAGAGGGGGAUGGAAUUCCGCGUGUAGCAGUGAAAUGCGUAGAUAUGCGGAGGAACACCGAUGGCGAAGGCAAUCCCCUGGGCCUGCACUGACGCUCAUGCACGAAAGCGUGGGGAGCAAACAGGAUUAGAUACCCUAGUAGUCC